UACGUAGGGGGCAAGUGUUGUCCGGAAUCAUUGGGCGUAAAGCGCGUGUAGGCGGCUCGGUAAGUCUGCUGUUAAAGUCCAGGGCUCAACCCUGGGAUGCCGGUGGAUACUGUCGAGCUCGAGUCCGGAAGAGGAGUGUGGAAUUCCUGGUGUAGCGGUGAAAUGCGCAGAUAUCAGGAGGAACACCAAUGGCGAAGGCAGCACUCUGGGACGUGACUGACGCUGAGACGCGAAAGCGUGGGGAGCAAACAGG
rnacentral:rRNA from 1 species